CCUACGGGUGGCUGCAGUGGGGAAUUUUGGACAAUGGGCGCAAGCCUGAUCCAGCCAUUCCGCGUGAGUGAAGAAGGCCUUCGGGUUGUAAAGCUCUUUCGCAAGGGAAGAAAACUUAUCCUCUAACAUAGGAUGAGGUUGACGGUACCUUGAUAAGAAGCACCGGCUCACUACGUGCCAGCAGCCGCGGUAAUACGUAGGGUGCGAGCGUUAAUCGGAAUUACGCAGCGUGAAGCGUGAGCCAGAUGUUAAAUCCCCGAGCUCAACUUGGGAACUGCGUUUGAAACUACAAGACUAGAAUAGGGCAGAGGGGGGUAGAAUGCCACGUGUAGCAGUGAAAUGCGUAGAGAUGUGGAGGAAUAUCAAUGGCGAAGGCAGCCCCCUGGGAUCAUAUUGACGCUCAUGCACGAAAGCGUGGGGAGCAAACAGGAUUAGAUACCCGGGUAGUC
rnacentral:rRNA from 1 species